CAACGAUUCCUACAAUCAUGGUGGGCGUGGCCCAAGUAUUUGCGAGUACGAGUCCCAUGUUAGAAUUAGAACUAGAGCUAGAGAUAUCGGUGCGCAGUAUCAUGGCUGAUGAUCAAAUUGCUGCUAGUAAACAACAACAACUGAGAGAAGCAAGACGUAAAAGGAUCUUAGAGAAUUCUCAAGCAAGACUAGAAAAGCUGAAAGGAUCACAAGUGAGCAGUGCUAAUGUACCACCUCCAUCUGCUCCUCUGAAGCAAUCAACACCCCAACCCCCACCUACAAGUGAUGACUCUCCCCUGCCUGUAGAUGACCCCCCUGAUGAGAUCAUAACCAGGACACCACUGACACUACCUCCUCCUCCACCACAACGAGCACUACCCAACACUACUACACAGUCGUCAUGGCUGGUUGGCGUGGUCAGUCAAGUCAGCUCAGACUAUGGUUACAAGUUGAGAACUGCAGCUGCUCUAAUAUGUGUUCUGCUGGUCACUGUCCAAAACUUUAUGUUUGGUGGAUUUGUUGUAUCGUAUGUGCUGUCAAUACUCAUACUUGACUGCACACUAAUUCUGUGGUUUUUAUGGAGACCUGGUACUAGGACCAAUGAAGCAAACCCUCUUGGAUGGUGGAGUAUGGCCUGCGUCCCUUUGUCAUUUUUUCACCCAUUGCUUCCUAGACUGUUUGAAAUUGCUUGUCUGUGUUUAAUGCUUCUUAAUGUAUUUAUUAGAGAUUUUCUAUUUUUUCUGUUUUGCUGUAUUGUUUCUGUUGGCUUUGUGCAAGUAGUUUCAUCAUAAAAUUAAUUAUGUACUAAAAGAUGUCAUAUCAA